CAGGCUGCAAGAAGGCAACACAUCUGCAUUAACAUCAAACAGGCUGCAAGAAGGCAACACAUCUGCAUUAACAUCUAACGCGCUGCAAGUACCGAAACGAAACUAGAAGAAUAUUGGAAGGGCCGUUUUGGCCGCAUUUCAGGGUUUUCAAAGCACUACUUCUUCGGUGUCGGCCACAGGAUCUUCCACAGCGCCAUCACAGCACUUGGGCGCCAGCAGCACGGCACCUGGACCAGCCACAUCCUCCACCUUGUCAACACACCGCUUGGUUCCCCUUCCAUCAGUUCCUCAAAGACAAGCCACUCGCCAACGUUUGUUAGGAGAAACAAUGUCUGCAGACUCUACACGAGGGAUGUUGUGUGUUUUCCUGUGUCUUCAGCAUCUAUGUUCUGCAUACCCAGAGGAGACUCAAGAGCAAAAUUGGCAAGGGGUGGCCUUGUUGGGAAGAUCUCCUUUACAUCGGACUGGUCUGAAACACAACUCAGGGAAGAAAUUACAGACAUUUUCAGAAGAACAUUUGCAUUGUCCGUGGGCCAGUCAUUCCCAUUUGAGUAUUUAAGUACAAUCCAGGGAUCUAAAAGACUGAUGAAACCAAAUGUCUCCAGCAAUUUUUUGUGGGGUGGUAAAGAAGUUGCAUCAAUUUCUUCAUCCUCUUGUCUUUAUAUAAUGGCAAGAAUUCAGAAA